UACGUAGGGUGCGAGCGUUAUUCGGAAUUACUGGGCGUAAAGCGCGCGCAGGCGGUUUUGUAAGCCGGAUGUGAAAUCCCCGGGCUUAACCUGGGAACUGCGCCUGUGACUGGAAGGCUAGAGUACGGCAGAGGGGGGUGGAAUUCCACGUGUAGCAGUGAAAUGCGUAGAUAUGCGGAGGAACACCGAUGGCGAAGGCAGCCCCCUGGGCUAGCACUGACGCUCAGGCACGAAAGCGUGGGGAGCAAACAGG
rnacentral:rRNA from 1 species